rnacentral:rRNA from 1 species
GAUGAACGCUGGCGGCGUGCCUAAUACAUGCAAGUCGAGCGAACAGACGAGGAGCUUGCUCCUCUGACGUUAGCGGCGGACGGGUGAGUAACACGUGGAUAACCUACCUAUAAGACUGGGAUAACUUCGGGAAACCGGAGCUAAUACCGGAUAACAUGUUGAACCGCAUGGUUCAACAGUGAAAGACGGUCUUGCUGUCACUUAUAGAUGGAUCCGCGCCGCAUUAGCUAGUUGGUAAGGUAACGGCUUACCAAGGCAACGAUGCGUAGCCGACCUGAGAGGGUGAUCGGCCACACUGGAACUGAGACACGGUCCAGACUCCUACGGGAGGCAGCAGUAGGGAAUCUUCCGCAAUGGGCGAAAGCCUGACGGAGCAACGCCGCGUGAGUGAUGAAGGUCUUCGGAUCGUAAAACUCUGUUAUUAGGGAAGAACAAAUGUGUAAGUAACUAUGCACGUCUUGACGGUACCUAAUCAGAAAGCCACGGCUAACUACGUG